CCUACGGGAGGCAGCAGUCGGGAAUAUUGCGCAAUGGGCGAAAGCCUGACGCAGCCAUGCCGCGUGUGUGAAGAAGGCCCUAGGGUUGUAAAGCACUUUCAACUGGGAGGAAAAGUUAAUACUUAAUACGUAUUAGCCCUGACGUUACCUUUAGAAGAAGCACCGGCUAACUCCGUGCCAGCAGCCGCGGUAAUACGGAGGGUGCAAGCGUUAAUCGGAAUUACUGGGCGUAAAGCGCGCGUAGGCGGUUUUUUAAGUCGGAUGUGAAAGCCCCGGGCUCAACCUGGGAACUGCAUCCGAUACUGGAUCACUAGAAUGCGGGAGAGGGAGGUAGAAUUCCAUGUGUAGCAGUGAAAUGCGUAGAUAUAUGGAGGAAUACCAGUGGCGAAGGCGGCCUCCUGGCUCGACAUUGACGCUGAGGUGCGAAAGCGUGGGGAGCAAACGGGAUUAGAUACCCCGGUAGUCCACGCCGUAAACGAUGUCUACUAGCUGUAGGGGUCCUUGAGACCUUUGUAGCGCAGCUAACGCAAUAAGUAGACCGCCCGGGGAGUACGGCCGCAAGGUUAAAACUCAAAUGAAUUGACGGA
rnacentral:rRNA from 1 species